rnacentral:rRNA from 1 species
UACCAGCUCCCCGAGUGGUUGGGACGAUUAUUGGGUCUAAAGCAUCCGUAGCCGGCCGAGGAAGUUCUCCGUUAAAUCCAGCGAUUCAAUCGUUGGACUGCGGAGAAUACUCCUCGGCUAGGGGGCGGGGGAGGCCGGCGGUAGUCCCGGGGUAGGGGCGAAAUCCUAUAAUCCCGGGAGGACCACCAGUGGCGAAGGCGGCCGGCCAAAACGCGCCCGACGGUGAGGGAUGAAAGCUGGGGGAGCGAACGGG